AUUGAACGCUGGCGGCAGGCCUAACACAUGCAAGUCGAGCGAGCGGCGGACGGGUGAGUAAUGUAUGGGGACUGCCCGAUAGAGGGGGAUAACUACUGGAAACGGUGGCUAAUACCGCAUCUUGUAGGCAAACCCAUAGGGGAUUGGCUAGUAGGUAAGGUAAUGGCGUACCGAGGAGACGAUCCCUAGCUGGUCUGAGCGGAUGAUCAGCCACACUGGGACUGAGACACGGCCCAGACUCCGACGGAGGCAGCAGUGGGGAAUAUUGCACAAUGGGCGCAAGCCUGAUGCAGCCAUGCCGCGUGUAUGAAGAAGGCCCUAGGUUUGUAAAGUACUUUCAGUCGGGAGGCGUUACCGAAAGAAGAAGCACCGGCUAACUCCGUGCCAGCAGCCGCGGUAAUAC
rnacentral:rRNA from 1 species